rnacentral:misc_RNA from 1 species
GAUCAAUUGAGUACGUUACAAGUGCCUCGACGUUUAAUUUAUUUAAAAAAACGUUAGGAGACUUUUUAAAAUUCUUACUAAUGGCUAAAAUAUAUGUAUAAAUUUUAUGUACAAUCUUAAAUGCUCUGAUCUUCACGUUCAAAUACUAAACAUAAUAAACAGCUGAAAUUCGGUAUGGAUUUUGGGAACGGUUGCGAUUCACACGACCUAUUGUACAUGUGAACAUAUUGAUGAAAAAUUUAUUGAUGUUUCAAAAAUUUCAGAACA